AUUGAACGCUGGCGGCAGGCCUAACACAUGCAAGUCGAGCGGUAACAGGAAUCAGCUUGCUGAUUCGCUGACGAGUGGCGGACGGGUGAGUAAUGUCUGGGAAACUGCCUGAUGGAGGGGGAUAACUACUGGAAACGGUAGCUAAUACCGCAUAACGUCGCAAGACCAAAGAGGGGGACCUUCGGGCCUCUUGCCAUCGGAUGUGCCCAGAUGGGAUUAGCUAGUAGGUGGGGUAAUGGCUAACCUAGGCGACGAUCCCUAGCUGGUCUGGAAGGAUGACCAGCCACGCAGGACCUGAGACACGGUCCAGACCCCUACGGGAGGGAGCAGUGGGGAAUAUUGCACAAGGGGCGCAAGCCUGAUGCAGCCAUGCCGCGUGUAUGAAGAAGGCCUUCGGGUUGUAAAGUACUUUCAGCGAGGAGGAAGGUGUUGUGGUUAAUAACCACAGCAAUUGACGUUACUCGCAGAAGAAGCACCGGCUAACUCCGUGCCAGCCGCCGCAGUAA
rnacentral:rRNA from 1 species